rnacentral:lncRNA from 1 species
CAGAAUGUAUCCAUAUGAUUUUUGUUGAGAAGAGUAACAAGCAUAGUUAUGCACAAACAAGAGAAAAAUUUACUUGGUUUUGUUUGGAGAAUUAUCAGAUUUCCAAUAGCAAAUAACUUUAAGCCAGAUAUAACACUCACCAUCAGCAUUUCUCACCAGCAUUUUCCGUUCACGGGAGCAAUAUUUCCUUGCGUGAACAACAGAGUUCAGCUCCAGCUGCACCAGGAGCAUUGGAAAAAAAAUCAUGAAUGAAAGUAGAAUCAGUUCAAUCUAGCAACGUUCCGCAGCUAUAAUGGCCAAUAUCAAGAAGAAUAGCCAUUGAAUUAUUCAGGUUUCUCAUCUGACGAUCUAAGAAUCUUCUCAGUUUCUUCAUCUUCGUCUAUUUUAUCAGAUUUCAUGCUCUCGACAAUUUUAUCCACUCCUUUACCGCCUCUAAUAUAUGAUUUAAUCAGAGUAUGGUACAUCUCUCUGUCAACUGGAAUAACAGACCUCAAUGACUUAAUAAAAGCUUCUACUUCUUCAAGUUCGCCCUUCUCGCCAAGCCAAUUCAAUAUGCUUGAAACCAAUCUAGGUUUUGGUCUCCAACCUUGACUUUGUGCUGCUAAUGCCAGGGCCGCCUUCAUGCACUUAAAAGCCUUCUCCAUAUUACCCGUCUCCAUAUACCCUAGAGCAAUGAUAGCCCAAGAGUUUGGGAUUGGAGUCUUUCCAGUCUUGAUAAUGUUCUGUAGUGUAGUUUCAGCUUUCUCAAUCGAUCCCUUUUGACAAAACCCAAGGAGGAGGAUAUUUGGUACUCGAAAAUCAUAAGUGUGGCACGACGACUCCCACUCCUUGAGCAAUGCCUCACUUUCCUCGAGCUCCCCAAGUUUCACUAACAUACCUAGCAUGGUUAUAUAGUCUCUGUUAAUUUGCUUCUUACAAACAACCUUUUGAAUGCCCCACAACCUCAUGACCUCGUCUUUGUUCCCAAGGUGCGCGUAGUGCGAAAUCAAGUGAUUGUAGCCGAGAGCAUCUUUAUUUAGCUUCUCUUCUAGUUUCUUCAAAACAAUGAGUGCUUUCUCCUUUAGACUUGCUUUUAUGUAAAAAUUGGCUACUGUAGAAUACGUGUUCCAGUCCAUGGAGACAAAAGAUUGACUCUCCAUUUCCUCCAGAAGCUUCUCCAUGCUGUUGAAAUCAGAUCUUUCUCCAUAAGAGUUGAUGCAGAUUCUGUAGCUGAAGUUAUUAGGAGAAAUUCCAUUCUUCUUCAUCUCUGACAGCACGUCUGGGAUUUUCUCAGGUUGACUAGUGUGGGAAUAAAGGCUCAUGAGAUUAUUGUAAACAAGAGGAGAGGAAGCACAGCCAAUCUCUUUCAUCGUCUGCACAUGUGAAAGGGAUUUAUCAACGAGGCGUUCUCUUACAUAACAGUUAAGCAGAGCACCGUAUGUCUUCUCAUCCUUUUCUAUGUCAGUCAAGUUAUUGAAGUAGCUCUCUGCGGCAUCUACUCCGCGGACCACACCAAUCAGAUCCAACUGAAUGGCAUGAUUGCCCGAAGAAUCUGGGCAGAAAUUUUUGCUACUCA